rnacentral:rRNA from 1 species
GUGGGGAAUAUUGCACAAUGGGCGAAAGCCUGAUGCAGCGACGCCGCGUGAGCGAUGAAGUAUUUCGGUACGUAAAGCUCUAUCAGCAGGGAAGAUAAUGACGGUACCUGACUAAGAAGCACCGGCUAAAUACGUGCCAGCAGCCGCGGUAAUACGUAUGGUGCAAGCGUUAUCCGGAUUUACUGGGUGUAACGGGAGCGUAGGCGGCGUGGUAAGUCAGAAGUGAAAGCCGGGGCUCAACCCCGGGACUGCUUUUGAAACUAUCAUGCUAGAGUGUCGGAGAGGUAAGUGGAAUUCCUAGUGUAGCGGUGAAAUGCGUAGAUAUUAGGAGGAACACCAGUGGCGAAGGCGGCUUACUGGACGAUAACUGACGCUGAGGCUCGAAAGCGUGGGGAGCAAACAGGAUUAGAAACCCCAGUAGUCC